CUUGAUAGUCUAAAAUAACGUUGUUUGGCUUUGUUUUGGACUAAAAAUCUAAAUGUGUUUUCAUCAGUCGAGCAAACGAUCUUCUUUACUUGGACAUUUGGGCUUCUGCUUGUGGAUUUCUUAGUAGGCUCUACUGCUGGCACCAUGCCUUAUCAUGAUGAGGAGUACCCCGGUCAGCCUCUGUGGCAGUCUGUGCUGCUUUUCUGCUGCAAGGGCAUGAUCGAGGGCAUCAUGGUCAUUCUGUUCUUCUGGCUUCUGGUUCAGGUCCUGUUCACCAAACAGUUAGAAGUUCAUCUCCAGAUUCUUCUUCUGGUUGGGCUGAUCACCUUUUGUCUGUGUUUGGUCCUGGGAUGCCUUCUGUGCUUGUGGAAAAGUAAAGUUUCUCGAGUGAAAGACAAAGCUCCUGCGACAUCAGCACCAGCUCCUGCUGAACCUGUGUCCUUUGCUCAGACCUCACCUUCUCCCUCAGCAGCAGCAACAGCAUCAGCACCCAAGCAGCAGUUUGAUGAGCUGGAUGAAGAAGUGCUGGAGUACCCGUCCACUUUUAGCAGCGCUGCUACUUCAGAGGGUGAAUUUGGCUCUCUGGCAUUUUCAAAUCAAACUUCCUGUGAACAAAAGGAGCCUCCAAAGUCUUAUUUUUCCCUGCGCCGCCUCAGCACACCUCUGCUUUCAUCACCCCUUUAUAAACCAUUAGACCAGAGUCAUAGCUCGCUGCCUUCCUUUCCCAAACUGGGACUACUGGCCAAAACACGUAAGGCCCUGCAGCGACGCUGCACUGUAACUGGGGAAGACAUAUCUUAUAAUGAGCACACUAGACUCACCAGACCCAGUGCUGGCUCUCCUUCUACAAAAGAAAAACCUAUCCCAUUGGCCCCACUAAGCUAUGGCUCCAGUGCAAGCUGCCAACAUCCAAUAUCACCAAAACCCUGCCUCCACUUCACUAUGGCCUUCUCUCCAGGGCAGCAAACCCUGACAGUCACUGUCCUCAGCCUCAGUGGGAUGCCUCACAGGCUGGAAGAUGUGUCUGUGCAGGGCAGCCUACCACCUCUCUGCCCCUUUCCUAUGAAAGCCGCUGUGCAGAGCAGCUCCAGCUCUGAAGCCCACAGCCUGGUGCUAAUUUUUAAGGUGAGCUCUGUGGAGGAGCUCCAAAGGUGUGUACUGAAGGUAGCUGUGAAUGCACGAGAACCAGCGAGCCCCAGACGCAGUUCUCUGGGUGAACUGGAAGCCGAGUGUGCAGGAAGAGACUGGACACCACAGACGCCACUUCACUUAACAAAAGAACUCAAUCGAAGCAAGUAGAAAAUAAAAAAGGUAGCGAAGGUUAUACACCUGUGAGUGGUUUAAAUGUCCGUACUUGGAGGUAAAAGCAACUUGAAUGAUUGAUUAGGAACCUUUCGGGUACAAAUUUUAGACCUCUGAACUUAAAUCCUGGAACAAUAACAAGAUGGAAGAAAAUGUAAACAAAUUUCCAGAUUUUUUUCUGUAGUUUUAUUUAUUCAUUGCUGUGUAUGACAGAGCUAAAUGUUCAAGUUGCAAUUCCUGCCAAUUAGGAAUGCCCUCUUUGCUCUUUGAACUUUUGCCCUUUGAUUGCAGAGUCUGACCUCUCAGGAUGCACUGAUGUGUAAGGGGCUUAGCUGUCCUCCACAGAUCUUCAUUUUGCUUCAUUAUCAGACUGUCGCACUCUGUUAAAGUCACGGUCCUCAGAGCUGAUAAUCUAGACAGCCUUGUUUCUACAUCAGUGGCAGCAGACUACCAGGUGAUCAAUCUGCACCACGAGGGAGUUUUGAUGAGCAGCAGAGAGACUAAAGCACGGUCCUGUACUGUGUGGAACACUUCUUUCCUGUUUGACCUGCCUCCAGGAGACAUCAGUCAGCUGCCCCUCAUGCUUGAAUUUGUAAUAAACCAGGUCAUUAAUCAUCAUAUACCACGGCAAUAGUUUUAUUUUUCCAUUAUAAUAAAUGCAGCACAAUUCAGCAUCCCCUCUCUUGUCUAAUGUGGUAGAAUGCAGUCCUUUCAGAAGCCAGAGUUGUAGGCCGAGUCUUCGUUGGAGCAGAGGCUACAGAUGCAGGACGUGCUCAUUGGAGAGACAUGUGCAGCCAGCAUGUGGAGCAGGCACGAUGGCACACUAUUCAACCUGAAACCGCAAUAGAAUAAGGCUGUUUGAUGACCAAUGGAGCGGAUUUACUGUUGAGCUCUUUGGGCAACAAAAAUGGUCAGACAUGAAGCGCGUAUGGAUAGAGUCAACCUGUGAUCUAGUUCACCUCAAGGUGCUGUCUACACUCAAGAUGAUACACACCCUCCCAAUCUGCCAGCUUACUUGG